UGAACAGAAACUUCUCAUGGAAGAUUUUCCAGCAUACAAAACUGAUAUAAUAUUAUUUGGCUCAAAAUCACUUUUCAUCAGACUUCCACACUUUUUUGUUCUGUUUUGUUUUCCAGGAUUGGGCUUUUCCUUGCUCUUUUCUUACAGUGGUAUCUUUUGGAGGCCAGUUUCCUUCCUGCUAUAGGACUACACGGCUGCCCUCUGGAACAUCAGAUCUCACAAAUGCCAUUUUAAUCUCCACAGGAGAAUGACACCAGCCUUCAUGGAGUUUACAUUCUUUGGAAAUAUCAAGAGUGAUGCUGGACAAGACUACGGAGGAAACUGAGACUAGGGAUGAGGUUCGUACCUACCCCAUAUGAGCAAAUGCAUCUUCCAACCCCUCCCAGGAGACCUGAUUUUUGGCAGGAACCGCUUUUUGGCAGGGGAUGGUCCUGCAGUCCGGCCGCAGUGGGGGGCCCCGGCUGCAGGUCUGCCCCCGCGGGGGUCUCCAGGUGGGAGAUGGUAACGGGGAUUUCAGCUGGCCUUGGACUGCAGCUCUUCCUCUCGGCAUCCUUUCCAUGUGGGCAGGAGAACAAAUUUACCUUAAAAACAAAACAUAGGUUGGAAGUGAACGAGGCCCUACGAGAAUCACUACAGGAGCCAGGUGUAUUUUCCUUUGUCUCCUCAGCCUUGAGAGACGAGCGGGACGAUGCCGCACACCGGCCCCGGCGGCUGCACCAUCCCGGGGCAGGGCUGCUCCGGCCCAAGCGGCACGGAGCUGCUCCCAAAACUCUCCGGAAUCCCUCCCCACCGUCCGGGGUCCCUUCCUUUGCAGAGGGAGGGCACACGAGUGGCAGGCGGCAGCUGCCCUGCUCGAGCGGGACCGACGGACCGGCGCGGCAGCGGGAGCCAGAACCAAGCCAGGGGCUUUGCAGAUAUUCCCUUCCAAAGCGCAGAGAAAAGGGAUUACACUGA
rnacentral:lncRNA from 13 species